rnacentral:rRNA from 1 species
UACGGAGGGGGCGAGCGUUAUUCGGAAUUAUUGGGCGUAAAGGGCGCGUAGGCGGCUGAACAAGUCAAAGGUGAAAUCCCUCGGCUCAACUGAGGAACUGCCUUUGAAACUGUUCGGCUUGAGGCCGGGAGGGGGUAGCGGAAUUCCCAGUGUAGCGGUGAAAUGCGUAGAUAUUGGGAGGAACACCAGUGGCGAAGGCGGCUACCUGGCACAUAACUGACGCUGAUACGCGAAAGCGUGGGGAGCGAACCGG